UUAGUGUCUCGAGGAAUCUGUCUGGGUGUGGGACACACUGUUUGGCAGUCACAGGCGUGGAUCCAGCACAAGGGCAGCAGUUUAUUCCUCCAGCCAAUAGGAAGAAGAUGGUUUGUACUGGUGAAUCUCUGCUGAGGAUGGAAGGAGCCAAGAACUUCCAUAACUGCCCUUACAAAGGAUUCCCACAGAGCUUUGUUUUGUGUGACUGUGGAAAAAGAGGUGGAUUUGUGUCGCCUGCAAGCUCAUCCCAUCACUGCUGAGCGCUUUGUUUAUCCAUUCUCCAGGAAAGAUGUGCUGGGCUGUCAUGUUUGAUUGUUAGGAGGUUUUAUGAGGUCUCUGCUGCAAUGAUUUUAAGCUUGUUCUGUCCUGAGGCAGGAGCACCAAGGCUCUCCUGCUCUCGCUGGGGCGUGUGGAACGUGGAGCUGCCAGUGAACUGAACUCUUCAGCGUGCAAAGAACUGUCCCAGUGAGCAGAGCUGUGCUCAUUCACUCCCUGCAGACAAAUCACAUUUGCUCUCCACAGCAUUUUCUCUUGGGAGGACCAGUUACUGGCUUGUGUCACAAGCAGCCUGCCUCUCCUCAGUGAUUUAUUCCUCCAGGCACACUCGGAUCCCUUUCACCUCUCAGGGAUCCAAAUUCCACUCCCUUCCACUGCAGGAGUGUGUGGGGCUGUGAGCACAGAAAUUGUUCUUGAGUAUCAGUUCAGGUUCAUCUGGUUUUGUUUCUGGUGGGGCUGUGAGCACAGAAAUUGUUCUUGAGUAUCAGUUCAGGUUCAUCUGGUUUUGUUUCUGGUGCAGAGCUGCAGAGUGUGGUGUGUGUGUACAAACACACACGUGCUUGCAGGGAUGAAAGGCCUCAGCAGCCUCCUGUAUUCAUUAGCUGACCCAAAUUCUGCCCAGACUUGCAGAGCCUGUCAGGAUAACCAGAAUAACAGUAGAUAACCAGAAUGGCAAAAUUCCCCUUCUUCCUUUACCUGCUGCAGCUGGUUUGAGGGUAGUAUAUUUAUAUAAAUAUUUUAUGUAUAAAUAAUUGACAGUAUUCUAUUACCCUAUACAUUAUUAUGCAUAGGGUAACAUUUUUCUUGUUUUAAGGGUGAUUAAAACAACUGAAUUUGAGACAGAAAGCAAGGAAUAAGAAAGAGAAAGUGAUGUCAAAAUUUGAUUGCAAGCAUAUGGGUACCUCCCCACAUCCCUUAUGGCUGUCACUGGAUUCCUCUGGUGACAUUACACUUGUUUCCCUCCUGAAAUUCAAUCUGUGUUUUCUCAUCUGAGUAAAGUUUCAGUAUUUCUGCUCUCUGUUGCUUUCUGCAGGAGCCAUUUAGGAGAUGAGCUGUGUAAGAAUGCAGUAAAAGACUGAAAUGCUCUGCAAGCUGCUGUGGUGAGCAAACCUUGUUGGCUUGGCUUGGGCCAAGUGUCACUUCAGUGUCACCUGGGACUGCCAGCCCUUUUCAGGCUCCUCCCUAUUGCAAUACAGCUUUUCCAGGCUGGAGCAGGAGCAGGAAAAGAAAUAAUUCAAAAAUAAUCCAGAAGAACGGGGAGGUCACCCACUAUGAACCCUGACUCGUGGGGUUUUAGCCUUCCUGGUUAAAUAUACAAAGCCAAGGGUUCUGGUGCCUUGCACAGUACAUUAAACAGCUUAAUCACACCGUUCUCUCUCACAUUCAUAAAUUUAGUGUUUGUUCUCCUGAAGCAGCUGUUUUCUUCUCUUGCUCUACUUUAGCUCUUCUUCAGAAUACAAAUUCAAGCUCAUUUCCAUUUUUUUUCCAGACCUAACACUUUAAAGUUUGGUUUUUAACCCUUUAGACUAAAACUUGAGUUGUUUGAGGACCACUCUUUUAUUUUUCAAAUAAAAUAUUCCUUUGCAGUUAAAUAUUUCCCAGUGUUCUUGAUCAUCCUUUUGGAAGGAGGAUCUUCUGGGACAGUGUCUGAGACAGAAGAGCUUGUUCCUCUUCUUGAAUUUGACUUGAUUGCUUUCAUGCAGAACUAAUUGCCAUGUUCUCCCAGGUAAGUCCUCAUUCUGGAUGCACUUCAGUUUUUUGCACAUCAAAGAAUAAGACAGAGACUUUGGAGAUGGAACUUUUAAGAUGGAAAUUAAUAGGGGCUGUGCUUUGUCCUUCAGAAAACUUCAGAAAAUUUCAGAAAACCUAAAGUAGUCUGGAUUUGGCAGUUGAAAAUGUUGGUAAUAAUGGCAGAUACUGCUGACACCCCUUCCCUUCUCCCCACUUUGCUACAGGUUGAAGUCCUGUACAGAAAAGUCUGCUUCUCUUUAACAUCUAAAAAAGAUUGUGAUUGCAUCACUCAAUUAUUCAAAAAAACACCUAAAAGUUAUAGAUACAGCUUUAAAUAUCUCUAUUUAUGCAAAACUUAUAUAGGUGCUCACUAAAAUAACCAAAAUCAGCUAAAAUUAUCGUUCCUUGUUACACAUUUACAGCACAAUGGACAGAAAAACUUCCAGAAGUACCUGGAGAAAGAGCUGGCCCAGGUUUGUAGAUUGAGAGUUUGAUACAAAAGUCUAACUUUUAUUGAUGCCAUCUUCUCUCUCAGUCCCUGUUCCCUCCCUGUGAGCGUGGAGAGACAACUGCAGAGCCACUCACAGCUGGUGGAGACAAAAAUCCUGAAUAUCUAAAGUUGAUCUGGAAAAAAGAUAUUCUAAAAUCACUUCUACUGCACCACCAAGAUCAUCAGUCACAAACAGACCAGGAUAAAAAAUAUUCAAUGGAGAAAGGACAAAUUAAGGCCACACAAAAUCAGCCCCAGGAGCACAAAAUAUCAGUUUUUGUAGCUAUUUCCAGACUUCAUCAGAAUCCAAAGCAGGGAAAUUACUGAAGGCUAUGCUGACAGAGUUGUAGAAGUUUGUGAAAUUGUCAUUAUCAAAAUAGAGGUAGAUCUCCAGCCACGCUGUGGACAAUUAUGAAUUCAUAAUAUUUUGCAUCAGUGCAAAAUAGUGAAUGAAGCAGAGAAUUGCAUUACACAUUUAUUGGCAAUCACUGUCAAAAAGGUCUUGGACUUUCAGAGUUUUUGAAAUGCUCAUGGGCAAUGUGACUGAUGGAUAGAUGCAAUAUAUUUCUUUCUAGGAUGAGCUUAAAAGCUUUUUGAAUCCCUUACUGCUGCUUCAUUCCUCCCCUCCACCUCUCUUGCAUGUCUCAAAUGAAAAUACCACAUGAAAUAAAUUCAAGUGUACAUUUCUAAUCCAUGUAACUGAACAGCUGCAAUGGACUUUAUGGACUUCAACUUCUAUUUUUGAAUACCCAGAUGAUGGAGACAUACACUACAUCAAGUCAGACUUUAUAACCUUUGUCUGUCUCAAAAAACCGAGAAAUCCUUUUAGAAUAUCAAGUGGGCUUAGGCUGCAGUGAAGUUUGGCAAGUGUUCCUGACUGCCACAGCACAUUUGUAGCUAAACUGACAGUGCAGAUUCUCUAAACAUCCAAGCACAGCCAGGUUUAUCACAUUCUGCUUCUUGAUGUUUGUAAAUUAGUCUUGCUUCUCUCUAAUAAAAAUCCUUGUAGCAGAACCAAGUGUUCAGCAAUUCUAUGACAGGAGACACUAUUAUUUUGGAAGCACAGCUAUUUUUCUUCAAAUUAACUUGUUGACAAGAGGAAAACCAUGCUGGAGUCACUCAGAAUGUUUCCUGCUACAUGACAAAAAAAAACCUCCUCUAUCACUUGCAAUUUUAACGUGCUGUGCUUUUGUGGAGGAAAGAACUUUAUACACUGACAUCUCAAUGCCACUCACAUCUUCAGAUCUCAAAAAUAAAAUAAAAAAAUAGAGGUCAGUUCAUGAAAGCAAUUCCAGAUCUGCUGAAGGCUCAAAAAUCAGUUUUUGUCCCAAUAUUGAUCAGUCUUUGGGCUGACAUCAUUCUCAGUUUAACGGUUUAAAUUGCUUCAAACCCAUUCUUGGUGUAAGUUUCCCAGAAGAUAUAAAUAAAGAUUGCCAUAUGUGUUAUAUAAGAUUUCAGCUCUAUCCUGAAUUAGAUUAAACUCAAAUCAAACUGACAUUGUUGUUUUAGUUUUGAGUGCUCUGCUGGUGGUUCGAUGUUUUGAAGCAUUACACCUUAAAACCAGAAAAGAAGAGUGUUCAACCAGUUUAUCUAGCUCCACAAAGAGAAGGAGAGUGGCAGAAUUGCUAUAAUUUCCUUUGAAUUCAAAGCCUCCAAAUAAUCAAAGUGUGUGGAAGUUUUCUGUGAGGGUCUGUCCAGUGCCACUGGCUGGAACCCAGCUUCAAUCCAGGCAGGGGCUUUGUCCUUCCCCUCCCAGAGCCCCUCAAGCCUUCAGCCCUUCCCCAAACGUGUGCUUGGCACACAGCAAAACGCCUGUGCUUCCAGAAAUCAAAUAAAGAACAGAAAACAAUUGAAAGAAAUCAAUCCCAGCCCCAAACUGAGACAUUUCUGCAGUGCAGCUCAAAGCCCAGAGCCCAGCUGCAGCCCCAGAAAGCUGCACCCAGAGCAGAGGGGAUGGAUGGAUGGUUUUUCUUUUAAGAGCAGGAUUUAGAUGCAGAGUUGUCCACCCUAGAGUUUUGUCCCUUUUCCAUUAUUUUAAGUGCAGAGUUGUUUCCCAGGAUCCAGAGGAACAGCUCCUCUCAGCAGCAGCUUUUCCAUGGGAGUGCAGGCAGUGGUGAGCUGAUUUGCUGGCCUCCCUUCAGAGCCAAGCAGGGAUUUUACAUCUGUGCUUUUCUCUAAAAGCAGUUAGUGGCAUGAAAAGAUUUGAUUUGUAAAUGUCUGAGGCAAUAGACUUCAUCUUUAUAGCGCUCAGAGAAAGGAAGUGUGAGGCACUGAAUUGCACAGCUGCCUGCAGAAGAACCACUUUCUUUUCCAAGAUCACCAUUUAUCAGGCAGAUGAAACAGGAAUAUUUCUGUGAGCAUUGUCUCAAGAGCAGUACAGAAUCCAUCUCCCACCUCCUCAAGCAUGUGCUGUUUUAAUGAGUUUCCACCUGCCAAAAGAAUCUGAAGUUCUGCAGACUCCUUUGCCCUCCUGCUACACCUUUACUUCCACUUGCUAAAAACUGAUUAUUCAAGCAUUCACUGGAAGUAGUAGGCUGAAUUCACUGGAUGAAGGAUCACUCAAUAAUCACCUUCUCUUUUUAUUUUUUUUAUUUUUUUAAAGUAAAAAUCAAUAAUCAGGUUGGAUAUAAGGAAAAAUUCCUUAAUUGCAAGGGUGGUCUGGCAUGGGAAUGAGCUGCCCAGGGAAGUGGAGGAGCCUCAAACCCUAAAUAAACUGUAAAUAAAUGAGUGGAGCUGGUGGCACUUUGCCCCAACACCACCCCCAUUAACCACCUCCCAGAGGCUGGGUUUGGAGAUAUUUUGGAGAUAUUUUGGAGAUAUUUUGGAGAUAUUUUCCUUAAUGGUUCUGUCCUUCUGUGAUCACCCUUUGUAUUAAUCAAGAACCAAUAUCGGCAAUCACUCUUUGUUUUUAGGCUGUGGACAUCUAAAGCAAUUUGUGUGUGUAAAUGUGUCACACCAGGGAAUGUGUGGGGUGGGGUGUAAAGGCAACUCCAGCCCCAAAAUGCACAAACUCACGGCAAAUUUGAGAUAUCUGCAGGUGUAAACAAUAAAA